GACGAACGCUGGCGGCGUGCUUAACACAUGCAAGUCGAGCGGUAAGGCCCUUUCGGGGGUACACGAGCGGCGAACGGGUGAGUAACACGUGGGUGACCUGCCCUCAGCUCUGGGAUAAGCCUGGGAAACCGGGUCUAAUACUGGAUAUGACUCCAUGACGCAUGUUGUGGGGUGGAAAGCCUUGUGCGGCUGAGGAUGGGCCCGCGGCCUAUCAGCUUGUUGGUGGGGNGAUGGCCUACCAAGGCGACGACGGGUAGCCGGCCUGAGAGGGCGACCGGCCACACUGGGACUGAGACACGGCCCAGACUCCUACGGGAGGCAGCAGUGGGGAAUUUUUGGCAAUGGGGGAAACCCUGACCAAGCAACGCCGCGUGGAUGAUGAAGUAUCUUGGUACGUAAAAUCCUUUCGACGGGGACGAAACCGCAAGGUUGACGGUACCCGUAGAAGAAGCCCCGGCUAACUCCGUGCCAGCCGCCGCCGUAAU
rnacentral:rRNA from 1 species